AACGAACGCUGGCGGCAGGCCUAACACGUGCAAGUCGAACGGUUGUAGCAAUACAGCCGUGGCGCACGGGUGAGUAACGCGUGGGAAUCUGCCCAGUAGUACGGAAUAACAGUUGGAAACGACUGACAAUACCGUAUACGCCCUUCGGGGGAAAGUUUUUCGCUAUUGGAUGAGCCCGCGUCAGAUUAGCUAGUUGGUGGGGUAAUGGCCUACCAAGGCGACGAUCUGUAGCUGUUCUGAGAGGAAGACCAGCCACACUGGAACUGAGACACGGUCCAGACGCCUACGGGAGGCAGCAGUGGGGAAUAUUGGACAAUGGGCGAAAGCCUGAUCCAGCCAUGCCGCGUGAGUGAUGAAGGCCUUAGGGUUGUAAAGCUCUUUUGGCGGGGAAGAUAAUGACGGUACCCGCAGAAUAAGUUCCGGCUAACUUCGUGCCAGCCGCCGCGGUAA
rnacentral:rRNA from 1 species